GAUGAACGCUAGCGGCAGGCUUAAUACAUGCAAGUCGAGGGGUAACAGGGGUAGCAAUACCUGCUGACGACCGGCAAACGGGUGCGGAACACGUACGCAACCUUCCCAAAACUGGUGAAUAGCCCUCCGAAAGGAGGAUUAAUACACCGUAACAUAAUGAAGUGCCAUCACUUUAUUAUUAUAACUCCGGUGGUUUUGGAUGGGCGUGCGACUGAUUAGGUAGUUGGCGGGGUAACGGCCCACCAAGCCUGCGAUCAGUAACUGGUGUGAGAGCACGACCAGUCACACGGGCAAUGAGACACGGGCCCGACUCCUACGGGAGGCAGCAGUAAGGAAUAUUGGUCAAUGGACGAAAGUCUGAACCAGCCAUGCCGCGUGAAGGAUGAAGGUCCUCUGGAUUGUAAACUUCUUUUAUAGGGGACGAAAAAAGGGAAUUCUUUCUCACUUGACGGUACCCUAGGAAUAAGCACCGGCUAACUCCGUGCCAGCAGCCGCGGUAAAAC
rnacentral:rRNA from 1 species